AUAGCUUAGCUGGUCUUUCGGGCAAUGCAGUCUGUUAGUUCAUCACGUGACUGCAGUGGGGCUGUGACGUGAAGAACGAACGACUCGAACCCGAAGACUCGAGAGGUGAACUAAUCAUUUCCGUUUCCGGCACAGCACCUAUUGGGAUGUUGCAGCGCAUGCGCGGACAAAAAUGAAUUAAUUACUCUGAGACAAAACUCCCGAAUCAUAUUAAAGAUUCGUUCAAACUGAACGAUUACGGUAUAUUUUGGUUAAUAAACUCGCUGCUGUUAAUUUGCUCAGCUUCCUGCUAGGAGACGAAAUAACGUUGCAGGAACGUUUCCAGAAGGUUCGCUUCUAGUCUUGGUGGAAAAAGGAACAGUGCUGACUUUUAACGAAAACACACAACUUUAUAAAAACAGCUCCAAAAGCUAAGUGCCGCAGGCUGAUGCAGCAGUGCGGACAGGAGAGAGAGGCUGUAAGGUGAGAUCAUAUCACUGCAAUCAGCAAGGUCAAGCCCAGCUCAGGUACCCAGUCAGGCUGGAUGGGAGGAGGGAGAGGACAGAUAGAUGGACAGAUGGACUGAGCGAAAAAGGGAAAGUGCAGAUGCAUGGAUAGACACAAUGACACACUGACUGGUUGUAUAUUUCCUUCUGGCCCACAACAUAUGGGCUCCAUAUUCCACCACAAUGAAUGUUUAAAACAUACGCAUCACAUGUAAAUCUCUGCAGAUGCUUACAUGACAAAGCCACACUAGUGUGUUUGGACUUUUUGUGCACACCAGCGCAGUUUAAUACUUCUUGCCUGGACUAUUUCACCCUCACAUCAACAGUUCAAGUUUCACAAAUGGGCCGUGUGUGUGCAGUGACGUUAGCUAUCUAUACGCAAGCGCUGACAUUUACUGGCCUUCAUCUGACAACAAUCCCUGCGCAUUUACUCAAGAUGGAUGAAAUGAUGGCCAUGGUCUUAAUUAUUAACCAUGGCUGACAGCAGCAAUAUGAAGAUAAUGUAAAGAGGAAGAAGGCCAUAAAGUGGACCAAAAGACAAGACAGAAUAAAUAGAUGAUGUUGAUGAUUGGAGGGACGCAUUAAUAUGUGAAUUUUGAUGUGCAAUAUAAACUUCUGUUGGUAUUGCAUUAUGAGAAAUAUAAUGCAAUAUAUUCGGAAUUAACAUAAUAAUAUCUUUAUAUGGUGUAUUGUAUGUAUUUCAUUUCACUAAAGUAUAAUUUGUUUAAUGCAAAUGUAUGUGUUUUUAUGCUUUUGAGGUUUUUCUUUUUAUAUCUGGAGAAUUACAAUGCAGGAGCAGGAGAUAAACAUCUGUAAAAAUGUAUGUAAUGCCUAUUUCAUUAAAGGCGGCUUAAGCUGUUAUCAUUUCAGAAUACUUUUUGUAAUAUUUGGCUGUACAUUUGAUCAGUUUUCAAAAUCAGCUUGUCUCUGUGGUUCCCCAGGCUGUAUACUGGAGAAAGAACAGAUGAUGUGGACCAACAUCCAAUCAUUGAGAAGGAGGAGAUGACUCUAUUUGCCUGUUAAUCGUUUUGCCAAUUCAGAAAGUUCCUUUCCUUGCACUAGCAGUCAUGACUGAGGUCCAUGGUAAAGUGAUCAGAACUACGCCUACACCUCCGAAGAUGCACUCGGCCUGAUUCCAACCCAACCCACACCCAAGGCUGCAGCAGAGAGGAGAGAAGAGACAAGCUGCAGAUCUGCGAAAGAGAGGAGUGCAGUGGAUCUUCACAGAGAGGAAACAUUAAGCAGAGCUGCACCAUUCAUACACUCCUUCACCAACAGACCCAGAAUCAUUAGCUGUCACAAUGAAUGAACGAGUGAAUGAAUGUGACUGUGAGAAUAUGAAUUUUCAUAAUCUUUACAUUUUCAAAGGUGUGUAAUCUACAUUUGAAUGUUUAAGAUCCAUAAUUUAACUCACUAAAAAUCUAAAUUAAAGUAAAACUUCUUGGCCAGGUGACUGUUGACAUUUGAAGAGAUCUAAUAAAUAAAUAUGAA